rnacentral:tRNA from 1 species
GGAGGUGUAGCUCAAUGGUAGAGUACUUGCCUAGCAUGCAUGAGGUCCUGGGUUUAAUUCCCAGUACCAACA